rnacentral:lncRNA from 1 species
CUUUAUCAGUUUUCGUUUUUGAAGAUCAUUACUCACCAAGUUUUCUGGAAUUGAUUAAGAGCUACGCGAAUUUGUUUUUCUUGUUUGUGAAAAGACGAUUCAAUUUCGUCUUUGUCUGUGAACACCCCCCUUUUUUACGGCAAAUCAUUAGACAAUGUCAUGCGAUAUUUAUGACAGCUGAGCAAGAAUAUUUCAUCGAACUAAAAUUUGAAAUGAUGACAAAAUAGCAUAAAAACAUUUUGUUAGAAUGGUGAAAUGUAUAUUUAUUUUGCAUUUUUUUUCUGUCUUGAAAGAUAUUUUUUUUUCUUUUUUUUCCCGACCGACCGACCCGACUUUUUCAUGGGGAAAAUCCGUAAACCAACAAAUUAAAAAAACGUGGCCU